rnacentral:rRNA from 1 species
UACAGAGGUCUCAAGCGUUGUUCGGAUUCAUUGGGCGUAAAGGGUGCGUAGGCGGCGUGGUAAGUCGGAUGUGAAAUCUCGGAGCUUAACUCCGAAACUGCAUUCGAUACUGCCGUGCUUGAGGACUGGAGAGGAGACUGGAAUUUACGGUGUAGCGGUGAAAUGCGUAGAUAUCGUGAGGAAGACCAGUGGCGAAGGCGGAUCUCUGGACAGUUCCUGACGCUGAGGCGCGAAGGCCAGGGGAGCAAACGGG